rnacentral:lncRNA from 1 species
AGCUCUAAUUUUUCUUCAAAGAUGAGGAAUAAUCCCUUAGUGCUUCUCAAGUACUUAGGGUAUUUUCACAGCCAUCCAAUGCUCCCAGCCUAGAUUCAACUAAUAUCUACUCGUGACUUUCACAGCAAGAUAUACCAAGUCGAGUACAUAAUAUGGUAUAUACUUAUGCCCAAGAGGAUAAUGGAUUCCUCUUGGAGGUUUCAAUGCUGAACCCCUUCAGCACCUCUUCUAUGUACUUGUCUGUGA